CGGUUGGUCAGGGGCGUGUUGGCCCCGCACAGAUUGAGCCGAGUUGUCGCCCCGCUGGGAGAAGUGACCCUCCUGCGCCUGUCCAUGCAGGGUCUAGAACGCCCACAUGUGCGGAACUGGGGAAUAGAGCUGGAGACCCUGCGCGAUGCCUUCCGCCCACAACCCUCAGUUUGGAGGACUGCCCGGGGAGAGGCUGGCAAAAGAAAGGGAAGGCUUGUAGAGUGCCUUGGAAGUCAGAGGAAAGUUUUGGAGGGCGUGCUCCUCUAUGCAGUCACCCGUGGUUCCUUUCCUAAUCUUUUCACACCGAGGGAUUGAAUGUUGUAAAUUUGAGUGCUUUGUGGCAUGGCAUGGUGGAAUAGCUGAUCCCCAGUGGUUGCAAAGAGAUGAUUUUAGGUCAGAGCCUGGGUUUUGCUUCGCUUGUGUGAAGAGCAAAAAACAAACAAACAAAAACAACAAGAACAACAGAACCGCUUUGUGAAUUGCUAUCUGAUCACCUGUCUUGGCACUUAAAUGAUUAGAAAUUGAAAUUCUCACCACCUCAGAUUCCCUUUGGGAACAAAUUGGAACUGUUUCAAAUGACAGAAGUGGAAACUCUAGUGAUCUGGUGUAGAUGCCGAUACCUGUUGUCUGACUCAUCUGUUUCAAAAUCUCAUUAGAAACCAACUGUCAUUGAACAAGUCUCGCUCUGUCGCCCAUGCUGGAGUGCAGUGGCGCGAUCUCG
rnacentral:lncRNA from 10 species